rnacentral:rRNA from 1 species
AUUGAACGCUGGCGGCAGGCCUAACACAUGCAAGUCGAACGAGUGGCGGACGGGUGAGUAAUGUCUGGGAAACUGCCUGAUGGAGGGGGAUAACUACUGGAAACGGUAGCUAAUACCGCAUACCAUCGGAUGUGCCCAGAUGGGAUUAGCUAGUAGGUGGGGUAAAGGCUCACCUAGGCGACGCUCCCUAGCUGGUCUGAGAGGAUGACCAGCCACACGGGAACGGGGACACGGUCCAGACUCCUACGGGAGGCAGCGGGGGGGAAUAUUGCACAAUGGGGGCAAGCCUGAUGCAGCACGGCCGCGUGUAUGAAGAAGGCCUUGGGGUUGUAAAGGACUUUCAGCGGGGAGGCGUUACCCGCAGAAGAAGCCCCGGCUAACUCCGUGCCAGCAGCCGCGGUAAUAC